UACGGAGGGGACUAGCGUUGUUCGGAAUUACUGGGCGUAAAGCGCACGUAGGCGGACUAUUAAGUCAGGGGUGAAAUCCUGGAGCUCAACUCCAGAACUGCCUUUGAUACUGAAGAUCUUGAGUUCGGGAGAGGUGAGUGGAACUGCGAGUGUAGAGGUGAAAUUCGUAGAUAUUCGCAAGAACACCAGUGGCGAAGGCGGCUCACUGGCCCGAAACUGACGCUGAGGCACGAAAGCGUGGGGAGCAAACAGG
rnacentral:rRNA from 1 species